rnacentral:tRNA from 1 species
GCCCUGGUGGCGGAAUGGUAGACGCACGGCGCUUAGAAUGCUGGGCCGAAAGGCGUGGGAGUUCGAGUCUCCCCUAGGGCACCA